AGAGUUUGAUCCUGGCUCAGGAUGAACGCUAGCUACAGGCUUAACACAUGCAAGUCGAGGGGCAGCAUGACGAUAGCUUGCUAUUGUUGAUGGCGACCGGCGCACGGGUGAGUAACGCGUAUCCAACCUGCCCUUGUCCAUCGGAUAACCCGUCGAAAGGCGGCCUAACACGAUAUGCAGUUCUCCGCAGGCAUCUAACGAGAACGAAAUGUGAAGGAGAAGGAUGGGGAUGCGUCUGAUUAGCUUGUUGGCGGGGUAACGGCCCACCAAGGCGACGAUCAGUAGGGGUUCUGAGAGGAAGGUCCCCCACAUUGGAACUGAGACACGGUCCAAACUCCUACGGGAGGCAGCAGUGAGGAAUAUUGGUCAAUGGGCGAGAGCCUGAACCAGCCAAGUAGCGUGCAGGAUGACGGCCCUAUGGGUUGUAAACUGCUUUUAUGCGGGGAUAAAGUGAGCCACGUGUGGCUUAUUGCAGGUACCGCAUGAAUAAGGACCGGCUAAUUCCGUGCCAGCAGCCGCGGUAAUACGGAAGGUCCGGGCGUUAUCCGGAUUUAUUGGGUUUAAAGGGAGCGUAGGCCGUCUGGUAAGCGUGUUGUGAAAUGUCGGGGCUCAACCUGGGCAUUGCAGCGCGAACUGUCAGACUUGAGUGCGCGGGAAGUAGGCGGAAUUCGUCGUGUAGCGGUGAAAUGCUUAGAUAUGACGAAGAACUCCGAUUGCGAAGGCAGCCUGCUGUAGCGCAACUGACGCUGAAGCUCGAAAGCGUGGGUAUCGAACAGGAUUAGAUACCCUGGUAGUCCACGCGGUAAACGAUGGAUGCUCGCUGUUUGCGUCUGACGUAAGCGGCCAAGCGAAAGCGUUAAGCAUCCCACCUGGGGAGUACGCCGGCAACGGUGAAACUCAAAGGAAUUGACGGGGGCCCG
rnacentral:rRNA from 1 species